CCUACGGGAGGCAGCAGUGGGGAAUGUUGGACAAUGGGCGCAAGCCUGAUCCAGCUAUGCCGCGUGUGGGAAGACGGCCUUCGGGUUGUAAACCACUUUUGUAGAGAACGAAAAGUCUGUUGAUAAUACCGAUAGAUGAUGACGGUACUCUAAGAAUAAGCACCGGCUAACUACGUGCCAGCAGCCGCGGUAAUAAGUAGGGUGCGAGCGUUAAUCGGAAUUACUGGGCGUAAAGGGUGUGCAGGCGGUUUUGCAAGAUGGAUGUGAAAGCCCCGGGCUUAACCUGGGAAAGCCAUACAUGACUGCAAGACUAGAGUGCGUCAGAGGGGGGUGGAAUUCCAAGUGUAGCAGUGAAAUGCGUAGAUAUUUGGAAGAACACCGAUGGCGAAGGCAGCCCCCUGGGACGCAACUGACGCUCAUACACGAAAGCGUGGGGAGCAAACAGGAUUAGAUACCCGAGUAGUC
rnacentral:rRNA from 1 species